AGUUAAGUUAGAAAGGGCGCACGGUGGAUGCCUUGGCACUAGGAGCCGAUGAAGGACGGGAUUAACACCGAUAUGCU
rnacentral:rRNA from 1 species